UCGGGAAUUUUGGGCAAUGGGGGAAACCCUGACCCAGCAACGCCGCGUGAAGGAUGAAGUAUUUCGGUAUGUAAACUUCGAAAGAAUAGGAAGAAUAAAUGACGGUACUAUUUAUAAGGUCCGGCUAACUACGUGCCAGCAGCCGCGGUAAUACGUAGGGACCAAGCGUUGUUCGGAUUUACUGGGCGUAAAGGGCGCGUAGGCGGCAUGACAAGUCACUUGUGAAAUCUCUGGGCUUAACCCAGAACGGCCAAGUGAUACUGUCGCGCUAGAGUGCAGAAGGGGCGAUCGGAAUUCUUGGUGUAGCGGUGAAAUGCGUAGAUAUCGGGAGGAACAUCAGUGGCGAAGGCGGCCCUCUGGUCCAGUACUGACACUCAAGUGCGAAAGCGUGGGGAGCAAACAGGAUUAGAUACCCACGUAGUCCCUGAGCGGGCUGGCAAGGCGCAU
rnacentral:rRNA from 1 species